CCUACGGGCGGCAGCAGUGAGGAAUAUUGGUCAAUGGACGAGAGUCUGAACCAGCCAAGUAGCGUGAAGGAUGACUGCCCUAUGGGUUGUAAACUUCUUUUAUAUGGGAAUAAAAUGUUCCACGUGUGGGCUUUUGUAUGUACCAUAUGAAUAAGGAUCGGCUAACUCCGUGCCAGCAGCCGCGGUAAUACGGAGGAUCCGAGCGUUAUCCGGAUUUAUUGGGUUUAAAGGGAGCGUAGGUGGAUUGUUAAGUCAGGUGUGAAAGUUUGCGGCUCAACCGUAAAAUUGCAGUUGAAACUGGCAGUCUUGAGUACAGUAGAGGUGGGCGGAAUGCGUGGUGUAGCGGUGAAAUGCUUAGAUAUCACGAAGAACUCCGAUUGCGAAGGCAGCUCACUGGACUGCAACUGACACUGAGGCUCGAAAGUGUGGGUAUCAAACAGGAUUAGAUACCCUUGUAGUC
rnacentral:rRNA from 1 species